CACUCACUCUUUUUCUGAAAAAAAAAAAAAUCACAUAAAGGCAAUGCUGCCUUGAAUGUCAGUGUUUCUACAUUGUGGUUUCUAUAGUGUGUAAUCCACAUACAAGUCCUGCCGUAUAUAAUGACUAGGGUCCUGGACAUCUUUGGCCUAGGGUCUUGCUCUACUCCUAUUGAGAUGCUGGAUUCUAAGUGCACAAAGUAAGUGGCGAUUUCACAUUUUCUCAAGUGGGUCUUGCUCAACCUAGAAGGCUUUUUUCUUUUCCAUGUCUGGCUAAUUCCUCCUAAAGAUUCAAGUCUGCCUCAGAAGGCAUCUUGCCUGGGAAACCUUUCGUAUAAACCUCCCUCACCUCCUUUCUCCCAAAAGAAGAAGAGUCUCUCUCAGGAUUUUCCCACAAAACACGCAUUUGAAGCCAAACCGACUAACCACUUUCUACCUCCAUAAUCCAACAAUUUAAGUUCUCUGAAUUUCCUUCCUAAUCUGUAAUUUUGGCACAGUAAUAUCUAUGGAGCUGUUUUUUAGACAUUAUUUUUUAGUAACUCUUCUUAGCUUAUUUGGUGUAAUAACCAGCACGGGCUAUGAGAGGAGAAGAGAGGAGAACAAGAUGAAUGAGGAGAUGCCUCCAGUUUUCAUUUAGUGUUUUUAUAUAGCUGGAGAAAACAUUUAGCGUUGAAAAAUCUCUUUUUAGGAAAGAUGCGUUCUAAUGUUUACUUCUUGGAAAGACAGGAUAUAGAUGGAGCAUUAGGUGUGAGGUGAAACUUGGUACAUUUUAUUAACACCUAGAAGUCAUUUGUUCUUUUCCUAACUUUUAUUUUUCUUUUUAGAGAUGGGACCUCGCUAUGUUGCCCAGACUGGUCUCGAACCCCUGGGCUCAGGCGAUCCUCUGGCUUCAGACUCCUGAAGUUCUGGAAUUACAGGUAUGAGCCAGGCACAUCUGCUCUUUGGUAGCCAAAACAGAACUUUAAUGUCUAUUAACCAGAGAGGCAAAAUUAAAUUAUGAAAAGAAGAAGCUCAAAAUGAUGACUUGGAGAAAGCAAGUAUGUUCCAAGGAAGGCAGUUGUGGAAGCGCUGCCCACCUUAGAAUGUACAUCCUCUGCCCUCCACCCACCGGAACUAGAGCCACAGGCAGACAGUGUCUCCACAGCUAAGGAAAGCAAAGUCAUCCUGCUAAAGUAACUGGAUGCUGGGAAUUUGGGAAUUUAAAAAUAACCUACUAAAAUGCACUGAGAUGCCAAUGGAUUUGGAGAAGAGCAAAUGUGAGUUUGGGUCAGGAGGAGAAGUAGAUAACCUUGACAUCAGUGAUGAAAAAUACCCCUUUGUUCUAGUAAAUUACACAACUCUGAAUUCCCUAGCCCAACCCCUAGGCCAGUUGUGUUUUGCUUUUUCUCAUUGUGAGCGUGGAAGCGUCAAUUGAAUAAAUGUGGAAUGAGGACAUGAGCCUCCCCUCCUACCUCCUUCUGUCUGUGAGCUCAUUGCUGCAGUGAUCUUACAUUUAUGUGUGGUUUGCAGCAGGCAAAGAGUACCAUGUGGUUUGGUGAAUCAAGGUUGGUUGAUGAGAUAUAGUAAAUCAGAGCAUAUCCUAAGCUUUGAUGACACUAUUUUGAUUUUUCUCCAUUUCUUGAUUCAGUUUGUGUGCCCCUCAGGUGUGUCAGCCCUUUAGACCUCAGGUAGACAGCACCGUCCCCUGCAGUCGGGUCCCCUGGAGUGAGGCUUCCAGUUUUUGAGACUUAGGCUUCGGGCAGGUACCUGGACAAUUGACAGAGCCUUGCAAUUGUACAGCAAAAAGAGGAGAAGGUUUGCGACAAUAAGUAGUAUCAGGAUUUGAUGAUUCGGACUGAAGUUUGGGAUGCAUCUGACUUAACAGCAAGUGGUGGCUCAUAUGUCAUGUUUCAGCGUUGAGAGAUUCUUAUUUGAAAUAAGCUAAAAUUAAGCCUCUUUAUUCAAGGAAAAGACAACAUUCCAAGGUUCAGGGACCCAAAGCUAUUACUUUGGAUCCCUUAAGUCUACAGUAUACAUUUGUUUUGUUAAAGUUUGGCAUUAUAAAGGUCAUAGCACAACCUUUUCGCUAAUAUAUUUUGGCUCCCUGUCUUUUCUUAAAGGUGACAUUACAUAGUUAAAAAGUAACCUAAGUUAAAAAAAAAAAAAAAAA
rnacentral:lncRNA from 1 species